rnacentral:rRNA from 1 species
CAAUAGCGUAUAUUAAAGUUGUUGCGGUUAAAAAGCUCGUAGUUGGAUUUCUGCUGAGGACGAUCGGUCCGCCCACUGGGUGAGUAUCUGGCUCGGCCUUGGCAUCUUCUUGGAGAACGUUGCUGCACUUGACUGUGUGGUGCGGUAUCCAGGACUUUUACUUUGAGGAAAUUAGAGUGUUUCAAGCAGGCGCACGCCUUGAAUACAUUAGCAUGGAAUAAUAAGAUAGGACCUUAGUUCUAUUUUGUUGGUUUCUAGAGCUGAGGUAAUGAUUAAUAGGGAUAGUUGGGGGCAUUCGUAUUUAACUGUCAGAGGUGAAAUUCUUGGAUUUGCUAAAGACGGACUACUGCGAAAGCAUUUGCCAAGGAUGUUUUCAUUGA